rnacentral:rRNA from 1 species
AAACUUUCAACAACGGAUCUCUUGGUUCUGGCAUCGAUGAAGAACGCAGCGAAAUGCGAUAAGUAAUGUGAAUUGCAGAAUUCAGUGAAUCAUCGAAUCUUUGAACGCACAUUGCGCCCGCCAGUAUUCUGGCGGGCAUGCCUG